CUAAGGAGUAUCCGAUGUCAUUCCUGACUUGUUCAGUGAAUCGACUCGAUAUCCGAGGUCAACCAAACACUAGCUAGCUAUUUAGUUUUGAGAGAGUGAACGCAUUGGGCCUGUAGCUCAGUUGGUUAGAGCACACCCUUGAUAAGGGUGGGGUCGGAUGUUCAAGUCAUCCCAGGCCCACCAACUCCUAACUGAAUUGAGUUCUGUUAAGUCGGUCUCUUCAGUAAGAAGUUGCAGGUUCUGAGAAAUCUCCGAGACUUUUAGGGGUCGCUGAGAUAGAGUGCGUAGCUCGAUUUUGAUUUUUGCUAGUUUGUUAGUCGUUCUUUGAAAAUUGAAUGUUGAUCGAAAUAACUGCGAAAUGUUCUGCAUGAGCAUCGGCGGCGAUCGAGAAAAGUGACGAGGCGUUUUCCUACGACCUCGGAGCAAGCACUCGGUCAUUAAAAGCCCCGGUACGGUUUAUCACUAGGUGGUGACGGAGUGCUCAAUCAGAUCGAUUUCGGCGAUUUUUAGCUGGGAUAUUCAUCGAACAUUUUUUUAAGCUACUAAGGGCUUACG
rnacentral:tRNA from 1 species